UACAGAGGUCUCAAGCGUUGUUCGGAUUCAUUGGGCGUAAAGGGUGUGUAGGUGGCGCUGUAAGUCGGGUGUGAAAUUUCGGAGCUUAACUCCGAAACUGCAUUUGAAACUGGCGGGCUUGAGUGUGGCAGAGGGGGGUGGAAUUCCGCGUGUAGCAGUGAAAUGCGUAGAGAUGCGGAGGAACACCGAUGGCGAAGGCAGCCCCCUGGGCCAACACUGACGCUCAGGCACGAAAGCGUGGGGAGCAAACAGG
rnacentral:rRNA from 1 species